rnacentral:rRNA from 1 species
UACGUAGGGACCAAGCGUUGUUCGGAUUUACUGGCGUAAAGGGCGCGUGGGCGGCGUGACAAGUCACUUGUGAAAUCUCCGGGCUUAACUCGGAACGGUCAAGUGAUACUGUUGUGCUAGAGUACAGAAGGGCAAUCGGAAUUCUUGGUGUAGCGGUGAAAUGCGUAGAUAUCAAGAGGAACACCAGAGGCGAAGGCGGAUUGCUGGGCUGAUACUGACGCUGGAGGCGCGA